rnacentral:rRNA from 1 species
UGGGGAAUCUUGCACAAUGGGGGAAACCCUGAUGCAGCGACGCCGCGUGAGCGAUGAAGGUUUUCGAAUCGUAAAGCUCUGUCCUAUGGGAAGAUAAUGACGGUACCAUGGGAGGAAGCCCCGGCUAACUACGUGCCAGCAGCCGCGGUAAUACGUAGGGGGCGAGCGUUGUCCGGAAUUACUGGGCGUAAAGGGUUCGCAGGCGGCAUGGCAAGUCCGAUGUAAAAGGCGAAGGCUCAACCUUCGUAAGCAUCGGAAACUGUCAAGCUUGAGUGAAGGAGAGGCAAGUGGAAUUCCUAGUGUAGCGGUGGAAUGCGUAGAUAUUAGGAGGAAUACCGGUGGCGAAGGCGGCUUGCUGGACUUCAACUGACGCUGAGGAACGAAAGCGUGGGUAGCAAACAGG